rnacentral:rRNA from 1 species
GGGUUGUGAGGUUAAGCGACUAAGCGUACACGGUGGAUGCCCUGGCAGUCAGAGGCGAUGAAGGGCGUGCUAAUCUGCGAUAAGCGCCGGUAAGGUGAUAUGAACCGUUAUAACCGGCGAUACCCGAAUGGGGAAACCCAGUGUGACUCGUCACACUAUCAUUAACUGAAUCCAUAGGUUAAUGAGGCGAACCGGGGGAACUGAAACAUCUAAGUACCCCGAGGAAAAGAAAUCAACCGAGAUUCCCCCAGUAGCGGCGAGCGAACGGGGAGGAGCCCAGAGCCUGAAUCAGCAUGUGUGUUAGUGGAAGCGUCUGGAAAGGCGCGCGAUACAGGGUGACAGCCCCGUACACAAAAGCGCAUGUGCUGUGAGCUCGAUGAGUAGGGCGGGACACGUGGUAUCCUGUCUGAAUAUGGGGGGACCAUCCUCCAAGGCUAAAUACUCCUGACUGACCGAUAGUGAACCAGUACCGUGAGGGAAAGGCGAAAAGAACCCCGGCGAGGGGAGUGAAAAAGAACCUGAAACCGUGUACGUACAAGCAGUGGGAGCCCCACCACCAAAGCAUUCUCUGGUGUUGAAGGCCCUGCAAAGCAGCAUCGCGGUGGCGGAGCGUCGUUUGCGACGCCCAACACACAAAACAAGCGGUGAAUGCUUUGGGGUGGGGUGACUGCGUACCUUUUGUAUAAUGGGUCAGCGACUUAUAUUCUGUAGCAAGGUUAACCGAAUAGGGGAGCCGGAGGGAAACCGAGUCUUAAUUGGGCGUUAAGUUGCAGGGUAUAGACCCGAAACCCGGUGAUCUAGCCAUGGGCAGGUUGAAGGUUGGGUAACACUAACUGGAGGACCGAACCGACUAAUGUUGAAAAAUUAGCGGAUGACCUGUGGCUGGGGGUGAAAGGCCAAUCAAACCGGGAGAUAGCUGGUUCUCCCCGAAAGCUAUUUAGGUAGCGCCUCGUGAAUUCAUCUCCGGGGGUAGAGCACUGUUUCGGCUAGGGGGCCAUCCCGGCUUACCAACCCGAUGCAAACUGCGAAUACCGGAGAAAGGUAUGCAGGGAGACACAAGGCGGGUGCUAACGUCCGUCGUGAAGAGGGAAACAACCCAGACCGCCAGCUAAGGUCCCAAAGUCAUGGUUAAGUGGGAAACGAUGUGGGAAGGCCCAGACAGCCAGGAUGUUGGCUUAGAAGCAGCCAUCAUUUAAAGAAAGCGUAAUAGCUCACUGGUCGAGUCGGCCUGCGCGGAAGAUGUAACGGGGCUAAACCAUGCACCGAAGCUGCGGCAGCGAACGUAUCACCCAAGACAACUUUACGGAGUUGACGAUUGACGGAGCGAAGCGACGUCAAAGCGUUCAUUAAAGUCGAGUUGGCUUAGGGAUACGUUCGUUGGGUAGGGGAGCGUUCUGUAAGCCUGUGAAGGUGUGUCGUGAGGCAUGCUGGAGGUAUCAGAAGUGCGAAUGCUGACAUAAGUAACGAUAAAGCGGGUGAAAAGCCCGCUCGCCGGAAGACCAAGGGUUCCUGUCCAACGUUAAUCGGGGCAGGGUGAGUCGACCCCUAAGGCGAGGCCGAAAGGCGUAGUCGAUGGGAAACGGGUUAAUAUUCCCGUACUUGGUGUUACUGCGAAGGGGGGACGGAGAAGGCUAUGUUGGCCGGGCGACGGUUGUCCCGGUUUAAGCGUGUAGGUGUGUGUUCCAGGUAAAUCCGGUUCACUUUAACACUGAGGCGUGAUGACGAGGCACUACGGUGCUGAAGCAACAAAUGCCCUGCUUCCAGGAAAAGCCUCUAAGCAUCAGGUAACAUCAAAUCGUACCCCAAACCGACACAGGUGGUCAGGUAGAGAAUACCAAGGCGCUUGAGAGAACUCGGGUGAAGGAACUAGGCAAAAUGGUGCCGUAACUUCGGGAGAAGGCACGCUGACACGUAGGUGAAGUGAUUUACUCACGGAGCUGAAGUCAGUCGAAGAUACCAGCUGGCUGCAACUGUUUAUUAAAAACACAGCACUGUGCAAACACGAAAGUGGACGUAUACGGUGUGACGCCUGCCCGGUGCCGGAAGGUUAAUUGAUGGGGUCAGCGCAAGCGAAGCUCCUGAUCGAAGCCCCGGUAAACGGCGGCCGUAACUAUAACGGUCCUAAGGUAGCGAAAUUCCUUGUCGGGUAAGUUCCGACCUGCACGAAUGGCGUAAUGAUGGCCAGGCUGUCUCCACCCGAGACUCAGUGAAAUUGAACUCGCUGUGAAGAUGCAGUGUACCCGCGGCAAGACGGAAAGACCCCGUGAACCUUUACUAUAGCUUGACACUGAACAUUGAGCCUUGAUGUGUAGGAUAGGUGGGAGGCUUUGAAGUGUGGACGCCAGUCUGCAUGGAGCCGACCUUGAAAUACCACCCUUUAAUGUUUGAUGUUCUAACGUGGACCCGUAAUCCGGGUUGCGGACAGUGUCUGGUGGGUAGUUUGACUGGGGCGGUCUCCUCCCUAAAGAGUAACGGAGGAGCACGAAGGUUGGCUAAUCGGUCGGACAUCAGGAGGUUAGUGCAAUGGCAUAAGCCAGCUUGACUGCGAGCGUGACGGCGCGAGCAGGUGCGAAAGCAGGUCAUAGUGAUCCGGUGGUUCUGAAAUGGAAGGGCCAUCGCUCAACGGAUAAAAAGGUACCCGGGGAUAACAGGCUGAUACCGCCCAAGAGUUCAUAUCGACGGCGGUGUUUGGCCCCUCGAUGUCGGCUCAUCACAUCCUGGGGCUGAAGUAGGUCCCAAGGGUAUGGCUGUUCGCCAUUUAAAGUGGUACGCGAGCUGGGUUUAGAACGUCGUGAGACAGUUCGGUCCCUAUCUGCCGUGGGCGCUGGAGAACUGAGGGGGGCUGCUCCUAGUACGAGAGGACCGGAGUGGACGCAUCACUGGUGUUCGGGUUGUCAUGCCAAUGGCACUGCCCGGUAGCUAAAUGCGGAAGAGAUAAGUGCUGAAAGCAUCUAAGCACGAAACUUGCCCCGAGAUGAGUUCUCCCUGAGACUUUAGGUCUCCUGAAGGAACGUUGAAGACGACGACGUUGAUAGGCCGGGUGUGUAAGCGCAGCGAUGCGUUGAGCUAACCGGUACUAAUGAACCGUGAGGCUUAACCUUACAACGCCGAAG